AAAGUCGUAACAAGGUUUCCGUAGGUGAACCUGCGGAAGGAUCAUUUCCGAACAAAACUUUAAUACCGACCCACCGUGUGCAAUGUUUUGGGUUUCCCUUUACUCCUUGUAGGUGAUACAGAUGUGUGUGUAUUGAUUGGGGAGACCUAUGAUAUAUAUCUCAUCAUCAUACUAUCAUCCUGUGGGGAGGCCUUUAUGAACUACCUUGAUUUAAAGGUUGAUGUAACCAUUUACUUAUACCAAAUGAAAAAUAAAGUAAUGAUACGACAACUUUUAACGGUGGAUCUCUUGGCUCGU
rnacentral:misc_RNA from 1 species